rnacentral:pre_miRNA from 1 species
GAGAUAUUUCUAUGGAGCAGGGCUUGCUUCAAUGGGGCUUUGGUGCUCAAUGAGUCUGCUCCUUGAGUGUGUCACU